UGGUUCCAUAACCUAGAAGACGAACAAGCACAGCGAAUACGACGAUGAAAGCACAAUGACAAUGAUAUGAGCAUUUGAAUCAAAACCCAGAAGACAAAAAUGAACCCUAACUUCACUAGGUAUGCUUUGAUUCAUUUUAUUAUUGAUGAUUCUGAUAUGGUUGUUGUUGACGACAACAAAUUUUAAUGUCAAACAUCAAUGGAAUGUCGGUCUCUUACGGUGCACCCUCAUCUUGGACAAAGGAAGAUCCAAAAUUUUGUUCAAGGCAAGCUAAGAUAAAUGUUGUAAAACUUAGAACUAAUCAAGGAGGGAGUUUAAUUUAUUAUCCUUGCAAGCUAUAUGUAGAUGGAGAGGUAGAUGAACUGAAUUGGAAAUGGGAAGUCGAUUUGAUGUCAUAUAUGGAGAUAUUCCGAGUGAUUAAGUCAUUGUGUUAUGCAAGAGUCAAAUGUAUGUGGUACCAUGAUAUGAAGUUUUCACUUGAGCGUGGAAUUAGAACUAUUAAUAAUGAUAAAGAUGUUCUAAAAUUUGGGGAAGAUAUGAAAGGUUAUGAUUAUAAUGAUAUCUAUGUUGAACAUAUUGUAUAUGAACCUAAUUUUGUAACAGAAAAUGAAGUAAGGGAGUUUGUUGAAGCUCAACAAGAAACAAUAAAUGUUGAAUUAGAUGAUGAAGUCCAUAUUGAGGAUAAGGAUGAAGACAAUGUUGAGGAGACGGAAGAAGUCCAACUUGAGUAGAGAGAAGAAGUUAAGAGUGAGUAAAGUGAGGAAGAUUACAACUUUGUUCAGGAUGAUAAUGAUGAUUUGGAUGAUAGUGAAUUCAAUGAGAUAGAUGAAGAUGAUUGGGAUUGGACACACAAAGUACCUAUCCAUACAUUCAUGUAAGGAGGCAAUGAUGCAAACAAUGUCUCUCAAACACAAGAACCAACAAAAGUAUCUAAUUUUGAGGAAGGCCAUGAUCUUGACUAGGAUGAACUGGAAACUCCACAACGAAGUGAAGAUGAAUGUGAUGGACAUAAAUAUCCCAAAUUUAAAAUGUCUGAUUAUGGUGAUGUAGUGAGGCUUGAGCUUGGAAUGACAUUUUCUACAAAGCAAUUUGUUAGAGAUGAUGUUAAGACAUAUGCAAUGGAGAGAAAAAAAAGCUCGCACUUCAAGAAAAAUGAUAGCAAAAGAAUAGUUAUCAGGUGUGGUAAUGAAUGCCCUUUUCAAAUGAAAUUUAGUAAAAGGGUAGCCAAUCAAUUAUGGCAAUUGGUGAGCUUGACUGAUGAUCAUACUUUUCAUAGGACUACCAAGAAUAGGCAGGCUAAAACUGAGUAGCUAGCUAAGAGGUUUAUAACGGUCCUUAGACAUACAUCUGAAAUGAGGCCAAAGAGAUUGAUAGCAAAGCCACUUGAGAAGUGAGGUGUGAUGCUCUCUUUUAGUCAAGUAUAUAUGGAAAAAAUAAGAGCAUUCUAACUAAUUCAAGGUGUUGAGAUUGAGUAGUACUCUAACUUGAGGAAAUAUGCUGAGGAACUUAGGAGAUCUAAUCCUAAUAGUACAAUGAUGAUUAAAUGUGGUGUGUUUGAUAUUGGAACUAUUUUUGAGAGAAUAUAUGAAUGUCUUGACCCGUGCAAAGAUGCAUUUGCAUAUACAUUCAGACCUUUAAUUGGUUUAGAUGCAUGUUUCUUGAAGGGUGAGUAUCACAGUCAGUUAAUGGCAACAAUAGGGAAAGAUGGAAACAAUCAAAUUUAUCCAAAUGCAUAUGUAUGGUUGAAACGGAGACAAGAGGCUCGUGGCAAUGGUUUUUAGAUCUAUUACUAUAGGAUCUGAAUGAUUUAUUGGAAAUGUCAUAUGGUUUCAUUUUAGACCAACAGAAGGGUUUGGUACCAACUAUUUCUAACCUUGGACCAAACGUAGAACACGGGCUAUGUGUUAGAUAUUAUUAUGGAAAUCGGAAAAAGAGGUAUCCGGCUGUACAAGUGAAAAAAUUACUUUGGUAGAUAGCCAAGGCAACAUUUGUUCAGGAAUGGGAAAGAGAUAUGCAAAAAAUAAAAGAUGUAAAUGAAGAUGCGUAGAAAGACAUGAUGGAUAUUCCACUGUCCAUGUGGGCUAGGUCUGCAUUCCACACAGACAAUCAUUGUGAUUUUCAAGUGAACAACAUGUACGAGGCAUUUAACAUGGCUAUAUUAGAGUACAGAGACAUACCCAUCAUUACUUUUCUUGAAGGUAAGAAGCAUUACAUAAAGUUUAGGAUAGUCAAACAAAAUAAUCCUGUGAGUUAUUUCAGAAACACAAUUUGUCCGAAGAUCGAACAAACUAUAUAGAGGUUGAAGUGGGCAGCUGGAGGUUGAGCACCAACUUGGAAUGGAGAUGAUGAAUUCAAGAUCUUUAGUGUCACAAAUGAAAAACAAGCUUCAUGGAAACAUAUUCCCAUAUUAUUCUCCUCUCCAAUGGUCCAAGACUUUGGUCAAUGACUCAAGGGGAACCAAUUAAACCACCUGUCAUGAGAUGAGCUUCGGGUAGAUUGAAGCAGAAGAGAAAUAAAGCUAAUGAUGAACCGAGGUCAACCAAUGUAUUACCAAGGAAUUUGACAACUGCAAAGUGUAAGAGAUGUGAGAAUUUUGGGCACAAUUCGAGAACUUGCAAAGGAAAAACAAUAGCGGACCAAAACUUGCCCAAAGGAAGUAACAAGGAAAAGAACAAAAGAAAGGAUCGACACAAGAACCAAACAUGUUGAAACAAGGAUCAAUAACAUUGUAAUGGAUUACAACUUUUAUGUGUGAUGAAUCCUUUUUUUGUAUAAUGAACCUACUGUGUAAUAUGGUAAUGGAUUACAACUUUUAUGUGUAACCUUAAUUUACAUCACUAUUAUUAAUGAAAUAUUAUGUUUGAUUACAACA